CUGCUCCAAAGCUAAGUCUUUUACUAGGGUCAACUUGUGCCACUCUGAUCUCAUUGAAACAAAGAAAGAUAGAGAUGAGCCAGUUUUGCUUAUUUUACUCUUUAAGGGAGUAUAAAAGAACUCGGGUCUUUGUGUUUUUGUAUGUUUUAAUUCUGGAUCACUAGCAGUGAUCAUACUAAGUCUUUAGGCCUUGACCCUGCAGGAGUACUUAACACAAUAGGAAUAGUUCUUCCCUCUGCAGCUUCUGUUUUAUGUUGGAAUUUGUAUUUUUUCCUUCAGGUGCUGUUCCAGCCAAGGAUGCAAUUCUUCCUAACAUAUUACAGAACCUCUGUGGUUUCCAGUUUCACUUACAAGUUGCCUGCAUGAAGCUGGGGAUGGAUUCUUCAGACACAGAGUGAGCAGUAAGUGGCACAUUUAUGCCUUAGGUUGGAUGAAAUACUCUUGGAAACCUUCAGAAGACUACUUGGAAAAGAUACCUGUUUUCAGUGAAGCUACAAGCAGGAAACUACCACUGGCCUGGGCAGGCACCUAUCCAAAGUUCAACCAGUUGUUGUGGGCAAUAAAAAGUUUACAGAGAGAUCUGCAGCCUUGAGAGAAAGACAUGUUGUUGUUCUGUCCAUUUGCUGUCACUGCCAUGGAGAGAUCCUUUGACUCUCA